UCUUCCUUCAGGUCAAGGAGAAGCACCCUUGGGAGAAGGUGUUUUUCCUCCUCCCCUUUUAGGCGGCUUGCCCCUUACACUUGAAGGAGACGCACCUCUCGAGGGCAUGCCUUGCCUUGGAAUCUGAAUGGAAACACAGGCCGCUCCCUCAGCUUGCCCGUCUCUUGUGAAGCCUCAGUGCACUCUGUUAUCUUCUUGGCAAGGGCAGGGUUGAGGAGGGAGGCAGGCGAGAAAGUCCUGUAGAAGGAUUACUAGCAAAGGGUUAGGAAACUAUUCAUUUGUUUGCUUCACUUCUAGUCAGCUUUGCUCCCCGUGAGGAGAUCCAAGGCAGCCCGCAGUGAGACAGAAACGGUUGGGAAGAGAGAGAGAGAGAGAGAGAGAGAGAGAGAGAGAUUUGCCUGUCUAUCAGCAUUUGGGGUCAUCCAAGGAAAGCAAUCAGUUCAGAAGGGGCAAAAGAAGGUACUUCUUUCUGCAAACCAUAAUUAAUCUGUGGAAGCCAUUGCUGAGUUACCUGUGGGAGUAUGGGAGUUGUAGUCUCAUUCUGGAGAUAUCAGGUUAGGGUGGCUGAACCCAGUGGGAGGAGGAGGAUGUGGGACCAGACCACCAA
rnacentral:lncRNA from 1 species